UACGUAGGGUGCAAGCGUUAUCCGGAAUUAUUGGGCGUAAAGAGCUCGUAGGCGGCUUGUCGCGUCCGGUGUGAAAGUCCAUCGCUUAACGGUGGAUCUGCGCCGGGUACGGGCAGGCUAGAAUGCGGUAGGGGAGACUGGAAUUCCCGGUGUAACGGUGGAAUGUGUAGAUAUCGGGAAGAACACCAAUGGCGAAGGCAGGUCUCUGGGCCGUUAUUGACGCUGAGGAGCGAAAGCGUGGGGAGCGAAC
rnacentral:rRNA from 1 species